rnacentral:rRNA from 1 species
UACAGAGGGUGCGAGCGUUAAUCGGAGUGACUGGGCGUAAAGGGCGCGUAGGCGGUUAUAUUAGUCUGAUGUGAAAGCCCUGGGCUUAACCUGGGAUAGGCAUUGGAAACGGUAUGACUGGAGUGUGUGAGAGGGAAGGGGAAUUUCCGGAGUAGCGGUGAAAUGCGUAGAUAUCGGAAAGAACACUAGUGGCGAAGGCGACUUUCUGGCACACAACUGACGCUGAGGCG